rnacentral:tRNA from 1 species
AGGGAUAUAGCUCAAUGGUACAGCACCUGCCUGGCAAGCACAAGAUCAUGAGUUCGAUUCCCAAUACCACCC